rnacentral:lncRNA from 1 species
CACUUGGUAUGCCAUUAGGAAUAGAUUACAGCUUCUAAUAGUUUAGGCUUCAAGUCUCAAUUAAGUCUAAUGGCAAGAAAUCUACAUAGAAGGUUAACAGAGGAGUUCAAGGUCCAGUAAGCAACAGAGAAGUGUCUAAUCGGGUAGGCAGGCUCCACUUACUAUGAACACGAAAUAUCUACUGGCUUCCAAAGAUCUCCUUAGCCAGGGCAUCAGCAAUUCUCAUCAUGUGGAAAGAGGUUUAGCAAGAAGACAAGAGAUGGUAAAAGAUUCAAAAUGUAAUAGCACCUUCUAUGUACAAGGCACUGGUCUCGGCACCUUCAUAAAGAUUAUUUCCUUUAGUGUCUGACCACUCAGACAGAAAGAUGAGUAGCAUCAUCUUUAUUUUCUAGAAGAUAAAAUAGACACAUAAUUUCUAGGAAGCACUAGUAAAAGGGCAUGUUUCUCCACAGGUCUAAACACUGAGCGGGUUGGGGAAAGAGUAGCCCCAAUCAUAGGUAAUAAGGACCAAGUAAGAGGGAAGAUAGAGAUUAAAAAUGCACAAGCUUAUAUAGAGCUUAUCAUAAUCACUGAAACCAAAGAGCAGUAAGAGUUCUUUUUAAUCUUUCAGUAAAUUAUCAUAUAUUAAAGAUAAAAUUUUUAAUAGAGAAGCUCAAAUAAAGAAACAGAUGCUGAAAAUUUCCAAGUAACUCAGGAAACUGCUAAUUCAGUAGACUGAAUUAGCAUUGGCUAAUUCAGGUAGAGUUAAAUCUGAGAUUAUGAAGAAGAUACUUGACAUCUCUAUCAAUACUUUACAAAGCUAUUAAGUCCAGAUCUUAAAGAAUCUUCAGUUCACUGCACUCAUGUGUUUUGGUGAGAAAUUUUGUUUCUAUGUUCCUGAUUUAAACAACCAAUUAAGGAUAUUAAGAGUUUCUGUGAGCAGUACAUCCUUACUCUCUCACUAACUCAACCUUCUGACUUUCAAAUGUUAUUAAAAACAAUAUAUUCUAUAUUGUCUCAUGUACUUGUGAAGGUUGUUACAAGAAACAAAUUUCUUUUGCUUAAAGCACUUUCAAAAUGAUUACUCAUAAAAAGAAAAGAAAAAGAAACUCUUACUCACAUGUGCAUAAUAUUUAAUUAGAAACCAUUUAAGUUCUCAUGUUAACACUAUUUAAAUAUAAAUCUUUAUUAUAAUCCUACAAAAUGUGAGAUUUAUGUUUUCUACUCUAUUAAAAUGACUAAGAAAGAAAACUGAACCUAAUAAAAUUUUAAAUCCUGUAAAAUAAUAUGUCAACAGAUAUAUUAAAAUUUUACUCUUCCAAUAUUAGUAUCUGACUCAUUAUCUUUAUAUACUAACAUUGUCACAGUUAAAUCACUAUCUAUCAAAUAUAGGAACAGAAUGAUACAACAUGGGAUGAGCCAGAUAUGAUCAGAUAACUUAAUCUAUGCAAUUGUGAAUCUCAUAUUAAUGAGGGAAUCCACAUCAGAAAUUAGUAACAGGAGGUAUCUUACAGAUGGAUGGUGAUAAAAAAUUCCAAUUUAAAAUGAAAGUAGCAGCAAUGCAAAUUAGUGCAAAGUGUAACUUUUGUUCACCAAAAUUAAGGUCAAAUUGCACAGAUUUAGAAUUAAAUGUAUUAAUUCCAGACAUUGUCAGCAAUGUCUUAAAGAACCUCAAUCACUCAUCUUUCUGAGCGUAGUAGGAAAAUUGUCUUAGACAAGUGUCAUAUUCUAAAUGUUCCUUUUCUAGUCCCUUCACCUUCACCUGCACACUUACAUAGUCUUUUGACUAUUUCCAAAUGAAAACCUCCGAUCUAAAAGCCUAUUUUUAAAGAAAAGCAUUUGGAAAAUAAAGUUCAAUGUCUGAAGAGCUGAAAUAUUCUGUGUGAAUACCAGCCCUGGACUGAAGAUUUUCACUGAGGAAAUGAGAGUUUUGGAGCAGUUGGGACCAAAGGAAAAGAAUAUUUCUUCCCAAACAUUUCCAGCUUAGAAUAUGGGGUGAGGAAACUGGAAUUUUCAAAACUUGAAAAAAAAAGAGAGAAAACAUUUUGGCUGAUAAGAUGCUCCUGAAUAAAAUAUUAUCUGAAACAAAUGUUUAAUUCAGAAAACACCUGCCAAUGUAGAUGUGCCCUUCAAUAAAUAUGGCAUCUCCAUCCUCAUUUAACAUGUUUCUUAGCAAUGAAAUGUUGGCAUUAAAUUUAAACAUAAGUGCAGUAUAAAACAGGCAUAUAGCUAUAUCUUGUGGACAUGGUGUUAUAACAGCUAGACCAGGAAUUUUCAAUGUUUUGAAGUCACAACAUUUUUAUAUUAACAUCAUUUAGAGACCAUAAUUAAGUAGUAAGGUGUUUAAUGAUAUAUACAAGAGAAUAAUAAUGUAAUCACAGUGAUACUGGUAUACUGUUGAUAAUUUCUAUAAAAGGAGUAAUCUGAAAAUAAGUCUUUUAAUAUUAAGACAGUAAAGUUUGAGGAUAAAGGCCAUGAGCAAUGUAAUAUUUCUUUUUUCUUUUUCAUGCUUUUUCCUGAUUCAUGUAAAGUAUCUAUACAAAACUGUUUUUAUAUACAAGUGGCAACACAUAUACCUUUUGUUUUCUAAUGCCUCCUUGAACACCCUUGAGACAAGUGUAUCUUUGCAGAACAGAGGCAAUAAAAUAAUUUAGAGAUCUGAAUGAAAAUGGAUUCAUUCUUUCAUGGAUUUACAAAUUAUAUUUCUCCUAAAAACUUAGUGUAUAAAACAAAAAUCUGUAAUUUCCAAUAAAAACAUCCAAUGGGUAUUAUACUUGCAAACCAUGAAAACUGGCAGACACUAUGCAACCUUAAUUUGAAGGAUAAUGUAAAAAAAGUCCUGAAACUGGAAAACUGCAAUUGUCAAAAUAAAGAAAACCAGAUGCUACCUUGGUUGAAAGAAAAGUUUCAAAGCAAAAGAAUAUCUUAAUUACUAUGACAGUUGUUAAGGUUUGAAUUGGUUUGAGGGAAAAUUGUUUAGAACUUAUUCAAAUCUAUAUGUUUAUAACCAUGAAGCUGUGGUUUAAAAACUCAUGCAAAUGGUUACUGAAAAGAAAGCAAUGUUUUUUGUCUUUGAAAAUGUACAAUAACAGUACUAUUAAGGUUAUUUUAUUCAAGAGCUGUUAUAAUAAAAUAUUCUGACUGAGAUGUUUAAAGCUUGCCACUUGAAACAUUUAUUUUAUUAUUAUAUAUCAGUUUAUCAGAUCAACUAUUUGAUAGUACUGUUAUUAAAUAGAUGAGAUCUAGGUCAGGUUAAAACUACAUGGGAGAAUGGGAAGAAAAACUGGAAUUAAUCCUCCCUGAAAAUGCAAAUACUAAGAUACAAAGAAAGACCAGUCAUGGUCUUGAUAGAACAUGUGUGAUGCACCUUUUGGUGCAAGCAGUGAUCAUGCAAUGUCGAAAGGGAAACAAGAGCUAAACAUAGCAGUUCCAAAAAUCUUUCAUGUAACAGGGUUUUCCUAAUGAUGGUUCUUGAGUAAGGGUUUAUAAACCUCAAAUGAAGUGAGGCUUCUUACAUUAAUUCUUAACUAAUUGAAAGCUAUGAUUCUUACUAAAUCAAUUUUUAACUAACUUAAAGCUAUGAAAAUCAAAAUCCAUUCUAACAUAUUCAGUGUUCAUUAUAUUACUGAAUAGAUUUCUUGAGGUUCUUUCAAGAGAACUUAAUUAUUGAUAAUUUUAAAAGACCUAUAUAUACUUGUCCCUCAAAAACCAACUAUUAUGAUGCCCUGAGGGAUAUUUUCCUCCUAUUUUGUUAUCACUUUAUAAAUAAAGUACCACAUAUGAAAAUUCUGUAUGAUUAAUAUUUGAAAACACAAUGAGGCUUCUAAAGUGUACAACAUUGGGACAACUGGGUGGCUCAAUUGGGUAAGUGGCUGACUCUUAAUUUCAGCUCAGGACAUGAUCUCAGGAUUCUGGGAUCAAGUCUAGGGCAGUCUCCAUGCUCAGCAGUGAAUCUGGGAAUCUGCUCGAGCUUCCUGUCUCCUUCUGCCCCUCCCCUUGCUUACUCUCUCUCUGAAAUAAAUAGAUGAAUCUUUAAAAAAAUAAAAUAAAGUAUAUAGCACAAAUUUUUAAAAUCAUAAUGGAAAGUUAUCUGAAUUCAGAUUCAUAAUAAACAUACUCAAGAAAGGAUGCUCAAAAAGUUAGUGGAGCUCCUUUUAAUAAGGAGUGAUACAGGAUGUUGAAUAAUUUAUUUUAAAACAAAUUGUUAAUAUGUAAAAUAUCACUCAAUCUUUGCUAAUCCAAUUACUUCUAAAAAAUAUAUACAGAAGAGGAGCCUGGGUGGCACAGUCGGUUGGACCUCUGACUCUUGGUUUCAGCUCAGAUCAUAAUGUCAGGGUCAUGGUAUUAAGCCCCACAUGGAGCUUCAUGCUCAGCAUGGAGUAUGCGUGAGAUUCUCUCUUCCUCCUCCCUGCCCCUCCCACCUGAGAGAGAAUCUCUCAAGUAAAUAAAUAAAUCUUUUUAAAAACGUAUGUUUUUAGAGCAGCUUAUAGUAAAUCAAGGAUCUUACUGAGGACAAUUAAGAAAAGCUGAAUAACAUACAAAGAUGUAAGCUUAUAGAUAUUGGAGAAUUGAUGGAACAUCCAGGAUUUGAGCGGCAAACCUUUGGAGAAAAAGGAACUUAAUAAAACAAAUCAAAUUUUUUUCAAUAUUUAUUUUCCUUUGUAGCAUAUGGCAAUACUUGGCUUAGGGCAGGGAGAUGACAAAGCAUGUAGAGGUCAGCUGCUACCUGAUGAAAAGGCAAAAACUAAAGUUUUGUGCUAAACAAGCAGGAAUUUGAGGACACUAGAGUUUCCAAAAAAGGAAGAAUCUCUCCUCUUCACAGAAGUUACCUAUAAAGCAACAUUGAUCAUUACACUAAGAAGCUAAGCAGAAAGCAAAUAUAAAGCAGGACAGAGUAUCAGCAUUUUCAUGGCUCUGGGAAGCCUCUCGGCUAAAACCCUUGAGGCUGUACUGUUGAAAAGAGAUAAAUGAGAGGAUAACUAACCAUUACAAGGUUAGAAAAUCAACCUUCAGUCAGCUCAAUUCAUCAUUUGUUUGAUAUUUUCUGUCCUUUUUUUACCUGCUAGAAGAUGUGGUAAAUCUUCUCUGGAAUGACAUACAGAAAUCAGUUCCUACAAUCAAAUACAAUGUCUAGGAUUCUAGGAUAAAAAGUUACAGCUAUAUUAAAGAAAAAUUAUCAAAACAACAACUACACAAUAGGACAGACCCAGAGGUGACACAAACAUUAGAAUUAUGAGACAUGGAAUUUAAGAUAAACACAUCAAUAUAUUCAAGAAAUUAAACAAGCCAAAGAAACUUACCAUACAACCAGGACAUAUCAAAAGCACCAAAUAAAAAUUCUAGAUUGAAAAAUUAGAUCUAGAUCUAAAAAUUAUAGUAACUUAAAUUUAGAUUUCAAAAUAUAGGCUUAACAAUGGUUUGGAAAGAGCUCAAAGAAGGUUAACAGAGCUGGAAGAUAGAUCAUUAGAAAAUAUCUAGAUUGAAGCAUGGAGGAUAAAAUGAACAGAAAGUACAGAUAAGAGCAUAAGAUACAUGUGAGCUGUGUUUUAAAAGGUCGAACAUAUAUGCAAUUUGAGUCCUUGAAAAGUGGAUAGGGAGAAUGUGGUAAAUGUAGUUUAAAGGGAUUAUUACCAAGGAUUUUCCAAUGUUGAAGAAAAACUGCAAGUGUAAAUAUAGUGUCUUAUGAACUUCCAAAAAAUUACACAAAGAAAACCACACUGAGUUUCUUCAUCAAAAAACAGGUGAAGACCAUAGAUAAAGAGUUUAAUAUCCCCAAUGGGUGAAAAAGCCAUUACUUUCAAAGAAGUGAAAAAAGAAAAAAAAAACAAUGGAAACCAGAAGAUAAUGAAAUAUCAUUAAAGUGCUGAAAGAAAAAAAAACCCACUAAAUUAGAAUUUUAUACCCAGAUGAGAUAUCCUUCAAAAAGUGAAGAUGAACUAAAAAUAAAAAAACUAAGAUUAUCCAUAGCAGUAGAGUUACAUUACAUAGUAAAAGAUUUCUUGCAGCAGAAUGAAAAUGAAUCCAGAAGCAAACAGAGAAAUGCAGAGAAGAAU